rnacentral:rRNA from 1 species
UGGGGAAUAUUGCACAAUGGGGGAAACCCUGAUGCAGCAACGCCGCGUGAGGGAAGAAGGUUUUCGGAUUGUAAACCUCUGUUUUUAGUGAAGAAACAAAUGACGGUAGCUAAAGAGGAAGCCACGGCUAACUACGUGCCAGCAGCCGCGGUAAUACGUAGGUGGCAAGCGUUGUCCGGAUUUACUGGGUGUAAAGGGUGCGCAGGCGGGACUGCAAGUUGGAUGUGAAAUACCGAGGCUUAACCUCGGGGCUGCAUCCAAAACUGUAGUUCUUGAGUGGAGUAGAGGCAAGCGGAAUUCCGAGUGUAGCGGUGAAAUGCGUAGAUAUUCGGAGGAACACCAGUGGCGAAGGCGGCUUGCUGGGCUCUAACUGACGCUGAGGCACGAAAGCAUGGGGAGCAAACAGG